rnacentral:rRNA from 1 species
GACGAACGCUGGCGGCGUGCUUAACACAUGCAAGUCGAACGGAAAGGCCCUGCUUUUGUGGGGUGCUCGAGUGGCGAACGGGUGAGUAACACGUGAGUAACCUGCCCUUGACUUUGGGAUAACUUCAGGAAACUGGGGCUAAUACCGGAUAGGAGCUCCUGCUGCAUGGUGGGGGUUGGAAAGUUUCGGCGGUUGGGGUAGGACUCGCGGCUUAUCAGCUUGUUGGUGGGGUAGUGGCUUACCAAGGCUUUGACGGGUAGCCGGCCUGAGAGGGUGACCGGCCACAUUGGGACUGAGAUACGGCCCAGACUCCUACGGGAGGCAGCAGUGGGGAAUAUUGCACAAUGGGCGGAAGCCGUAUGCAGCAACGCCGCGUGCGGGAUGACGGCCUUCGGGUUGUAAACCGCUUUCGCCUGUGACGAAGCGUGAGUGACGGUAAUGUGUAAAGAAGCACCGGCUAACUACGUG